rnacentral:rRNA from 1 species
ACACGCAUGACACACUGCAUAUCAAUAAGCGGAGGAAAAGAAACUAACAAGGAUUCCCUUAGUAACGGCGAGUGAAGCGGGAAGAGCUCAAAUUUGAAAUCUUCAAGGUUCUACCUUGACGAAUUGUAGUUUAUAGAAGUGUUUUCUGUUAGUGGAGUGGCAAAAGUUCUUUGGAAUAGGACAUCAUAGAGGGUGAGAAUCCCGUAUUUGGUCAUUCCUCCUAGCGUUGUGAUACACUUUCAACGAGUCGGGUUGUUUGGGAAUGCAGUCCAAAAUGGGUGGUAAAUUUCAUCUAAAGCUAAAUAUUGGCGAGAGACCGAUAGCGAACAAGUACCGUGAGGGAAAGAUGAAAAGAACUUUGAAAAGAGAGUUAAACAGUACGUGAAAUUGUCAAAAGGGAAGCGUUUGACACCAGUGUUGUUUUUCCGAAAAUCAAUUACGAAUGUUUUGUUUUUGAGAGAGUUAUGACUUCAUCGGCUUGCUUCUUUCUUUACGAAACUUUCUUAAUGCACUUUUCGGUUAACAAGUCAACAUCAAUUUCUUUUGUUGUAAAAGGGUAUGAGGAAGGUGGCUUUCUUUUCGGAGAAAGUGUUUAUAGCCUUGUAGCCUCUGCAAUCGGAGAGAUUGAGGUCUGCAGCGUAGAUCCUUCGGGGUUAGAUACAGUUUGUGCUAAGUUAUAGCUUUUCAUAGACAACUUGUUGACUAUGUUUAGUCUUGUAGCUUACUCGCUUAUGCUAUUUUACCUACGCUUAGGAUGUUGAUCUACAGAGCGAGAGU